AGACAUUCGGCUGAUCUGGCUGGCUAGGCGGAUGUCCCCUUCCUUCCUUACCGCUCCUUGUGCGUCCCUCCCAAAGCUGCAUGCUAUGUCAAAGAGGACGACCUUCCCCGAUAGAGGAGGCCCAUUCUUCGGUAAGGGAAUAUGAGUAGCUGUGCUCCCCUGCUAGAACAUCCAAACAAGCUCUCAAAUAAACAAACAACAAACAAAAUAAUAUCAACAUCAGCAAAAAUUAGUCUGACUAUGUGGCAGACAGUCCAAAAGCU
rnacentral:sRNA from 1 species